rnacentral:rRNA from 1 species
AUCUGCCGUGGGCGCUGGAGAAUUGAGGGGGGCUGCUCCUAGUACGAGAGGACCGGAGUGGACGCAUCACUGGUGUUCGGGUUGUCAUGCCAAUGGCACUGCCCGGUAGCUAAAUGCGGAAGAGAUAAGUGCUGAAAGCAUCUAAGCACGAAACUUGCCCCGAGAUGAUUUCUCCCUGAGACUUUAAGUCUCCUGAAGGAACGUUGAAGACGACGACGUUGAUAGGCCGGGUGUGUAAGCGCAGCGAUGCGUUGAGCUAACCGGUACUAAUGAACCGUGAGGCUUAACCUUA